AAUUCGGCUUAGAGUUUGAUCCUGGCUCAGAACGAACGCUGGCGGCAGGCUUAACACAUGCAAGUCGAACGCCCCGCAAGGGGAGUGGCAGACGGGUGAGUAACGCGUGGGAAUCUACCGAGCCCUACGGAAUAACGCAUGGAAACGUGUGCUAAUACCGUAUACGCCCUUAGGGGGAAAGAUUUAUCGGGGUUUGAUGAGCGGGCCGUUGGAUUAGCUGGUUGGUGGGGUAAAGGCCUACCAAGGCGACGAUCCAUAGCUGGUCUGAGAGGAUGAUCAGCCACAUUGGGACUGAGACACGGCCCAAACUCCUACGGGAGGCAGCAGUGGGGAAUAUUGGACAAUGGGUGGAAGCAUGACGGGCCUCCAUGCCGCGUGAGAAAAUGAAGGUCUUAGGAUUGUAAAGCUCUUUCCC
rnacentral:rRNA from 1 species